rnacentral:snoRNA from 1 species
CCUGCCUCUAGAGGAGUUGCAGGCAUGGCUGCUGUGUCACACAUGCGUCAGUAGGUAUCAGAGAGGAGAGAGGCAAUGUCUAUGCUCACUGUUUUGAUGAACAGCAAAAAAAAAAAGUGAGCUGAGACAACCAUCUGCCCCGUACC